AUAACCGCGGGAAACUGUGGCUGAGAAGUGCGGUGAGGCUCCGACCUAUCAGCUUGUCGGUACGAUAAGGGCGUACGGAGGCGAUGACGGGUAACGGAGGAUGAUGUCUGAUUCCGGAGAGGGAGCCUGAGAGACGGCUGCCACGUCCAAGGACGGCAGCAGGCGCGCAACUUACCCAAUGAGCAUUGAGGUAGUGACGAGGCGUAGGAUGUGAGACGAGUGUAAAGAACUCGACGAGAGCGACUGGAGGGCAAGUCUGGUGCCAGCAGCCGCGGUAAUUCCAGCUCCAGGGGCGUCUGUGUGUGUUGCUGCGGUUAAAAAGCGCGUAGUUUGUGGCGCGGCUGGUUGUUUUAGUGUA
rnacentral:rRNA from 1 species